CGUUCCCGGGCCUUGUACACACCGCCCGUCAAGCCAUGGAAGUUGGAGUACCUGAAGUCGAUCACCGGCAAGGAGUCGCCUAGGGUAAAUCAAUGACUGGGGCU
rnacentral:rRNA from 1 species